UACGUAGGGUGCAAGCGUUGUCCGGAAUUAUUGGGCAUAAAGAGCUCGUAGGCGGUCUGUCGCGUCGGAUGUGAAAACCCAGGGCUCAACCCUGGGCCUGCAUUCGAUACGGGCAGACUAGAGUUCGGUAGGGGAGACUGGAAUUCCUGGUGUAGCGGUGAAAUGCGCAGAUAUCAGGAGGAACACCGGUGGCGAAGGCGGCCCGCUGGGCAGGAAGGCUCGCAAGAGCCGGCUGACGCUGAGGCGCGACAGCGUGGGGAGCAAACAGG
rnacentral:rRNA from 1 species